GAGUGUAAUAUAUAUAGGGCCUCGGCCGCGCGAACAACCAGUCGUUUGUUGAAGUGGAUUCAAAAAGCCGAGAAGGUUUCGAAAAACAUCGCUAGAAGUGUCUUAUAUACGUACACGCGCAGACACCUAACAACAAUAAACAAAUAACAACCAUCGUUACUCAGCAAAGCCAACUACAUUGCCGCAGUUCAAUCUUCAAGCUCUACUCUGGCGCGUUAUAAUUAUUGCGACAUUCACAAUAAAGUAUAACAAUUUGCUUAUACAAGAGAGAAAAGCGAAGAGCGUAUAAUACAGCGACGCGUGAAUUUGUAUUCCCCGAGCAAUUUUUCACGAGGAAAACAAAUCAUGAAUAAUUCAAGUGAACGGCCGCGCUAUAUUACGUUAAUCCCGGUCGCGCGUCAGGGAAUUUUCGCGAUUCGGCCGGCGGCGGAGCAGUUUGCGCGCUCGAUAUUUUUUUUCCGCGGAUGACCCUGACCAAGCCUCUACCCCCGAAACCUGCGCUCCUGUGAUCGAUCCGCCGCCGUCUGUAUAUAACACAUGUAUACCUAUAAUAUCACACCGGAGAGUGGAAACGAGGGCCGUGCGAGUGCGUUAUUAUUAAAUACUCGCUCGUCGGGAUCUAUCCCACCGUGUCGAGUGCGCGAAAAAGUUUUUCCAUAGUGAAAACAGAGCUUUAUCAGAGUUGAUGUUAUAAUACAAAGAACGUGUUUUAUUGUUUUGCAGUAAGAACUAUUUGUAUAUUAUAUUGUAUUACUAUUUCUGCUCGCGUUGUAUAGAUAAUAGUUGUUGAUGUUACAAGAGUAAUAAUAGGCUACAGCCUGCAGUAUUAUGCUUUCAGAGUAAACCAUAAACGUGUAUAACGUUACGUCAAAGAAGGGGCUAGAUGCACCUAUUUGUAUGUUAUAGCGCAAAAAGAGGGGAAUUCCUACAAUGAGUCAAAACGACGAAAAAACCCGCUUUGGUAUACUAUAUGUUUGCUACAUAAUCAUUUCUACAUUAAAAAAAAUUAAUAGUCUCUGUUUACAGCUCCUCUCGCUAGAGGAUUCCUUCAGCUGAUGUUUAUGCUCGUUUUGAUGCUACACAAAACUCACGUUUGGAGUUUCACUCUACUGCAAAAUAACUUUGUUUAUACCAAUAUCUCCCUGAAUCAGCCGAGUCGGUAGUGCACCUUAUACUCCAACAGCUGCUUUGCCGUGUAACAAAAUUAGUUCCGCAGACAGCACCGCUCCAUCGCAAAGUCGAAUAAAAGAAAAAAAAACAGAAGUAGGAGGAGGAAGAAAACACGUGUUCGAUAUACCUACGUAUACGCAAUGAAAUCGAUAUCUCGCGAGUGACCACGACGGCGUCGACGAUGACGACGAAGACGACGACGAGGCGAAUCACACAGGGUCAGGGUUGCGAGCCUCGAUGAAGGCCUCGGCCACGUUCCGAUGUGUAAUUGGCGCGCACGAGGCGCAUAUGCAGCAGCAGCAGAACUACCGACUGUAUACGUCGAUUUUUUUUUCAUACACGGCCAGAGCGACUGAUUUAUGCAUGCGAUGAAUUCGCUCUGCUAUAAAGCGCGCGUAUAUCUGUAUCUGGCGCUAUAUGGAUAGUGUAUUGACAUACGCGUGCGCGUAUAGUACACGCGUCGGCGGGGUAAAAAUCGAUUCGAAACCGAUCUCGCGGAUUAAUAAAAUUGCGAAUAAGCUCGUCCUAAAAAUAUGAAUAUGGAUUUAACGGGUCCGCCGGCCUUUGGAGAGCAUAUUUCAUAUUGUGGCAGCGGGUAUAAAAUCGAUGCGCCGUGACGUCACGCGCCUCGCUAAAGAGAGCGAGAGAGGGAGGCAAAUCCGUCAACGUCACAUGACGUCACGCGAGAUCCUUAUACAUACUUGGUGAAUUUUAAAGAAUCGGUUUUUCAUUUAAAGAGGAGAUGAGAGUCAUCAAACGGAAUAAAAAUCGCGAUAGUCGCAUUAUAAGCUUGGAUCGCCGCACUCGCAACUGCGGUAAUGGGAUUGAUUGGACACAAUUGUAUACCUGAUGUAUUUUUCCUAAAUUAUAUAUAAUCGAUUGCCCUUCGCA